rnacentral:rRNA from 1 species
AUUGAACGCUGGCGGCAGGCCUAACACAUGCAAGUCGAACGAGUGGCGGACGGGUGAGUAAUGUAUGGGAAACUGCCUUAUGGAGGGGGAUAACUACUGGAAACGGUAGCUAAUACCGCAUACCAUCAGAUGUGCCCAGAUGGGAUUAGCUAGUGGGUGGGGUAACGGCUCACCAAGGCGACGAUCCCUAGCUGGUCUGAGAGGAUGACCAGCCACACUGGAACUGAGACACGUUCCAGACUCCGACGGGAGGCAGCAGUGGGGAAUAUUGCGCAAUGGGCGCAAGCCUGACGCAGCAAUGCCGCGUGUAUGAAGAAGGCCUUCGGGUUGUAAAGUACUUUCAGUGGGGAGGCGUUACCUACAGAGGAAGCACCGGCUAACUCCGUGCCAGCCGCCGCGGUAAUAC